rnacentral:tRNA from 1 species
UAUGGCAGAUUAGUGCCCAGGAUUUAAACUCCUCUCAUAAAGAAUUUAUUCUUUUAUUAAAA